rnacentral:rRNA from 1 species
ACGAACGCUGGCGGCGUGCUUAACACAUGCCAGUCGAACGGAAAGGCCCUGCUUUUGUGGGGUGCUCGAGUGGCGAACGGGUGAGUAACACGUGAGUAACCUGCCCUUGACUUUGGGAUAACUUCAGGAAACUGGGGCUAAUACCGGAUAGGAGCUCCUGCUGCAUGGUGGGGGUUGGAAAGUUUCGGCGGUUGGGGAUGGACUCGCGGCUUAUCAGCUUGUUGGUGGGGUAGUGGCUUACCAAGGCUUUGACGGGUAGCCGGCCUGAGAGGGUGACCGGCCACAUUGGGACUGAGAUACGGCCCAGACUCCUACGGGAGGCAGCAGUGGGGAAUAUUGCACAAUGGGCGGAAGCCUGAUGCAGCAACGCCGCGUGCGGGAUGACGGCCUUCGGGAUGUAAACCGCUUUCGCCUGUGACGAAGCGUGAGUGACGGUAAUGGGUAAAGAAGCACCGGCUAACUACGUG